rnacentral:tRNA from 1 species
GGGGUGUCGGUCUAGCGGUUUGGACGCCGCUCUUUCACAGCGGAGGUCACGGGUUCGAAUCCCGUACGCCCUG